rnacentral:snoRNA from 1 species
ACACCUUACUUGAACAAGAUCUAUUUUGUUAGUUGUACAUCCGUUUUCAGUAACACAACAAAGAAACACAACAAUCUAGAAAAUGACAUGAUGCCAUGUGGCCAGAGUGCGGAUUUGACGUUGGGUCCCACAUGUCUCCUUCAGCCUCAGAGGGUUGCUUUCAUCAAUCCAACGGCUAAUGAGAUAGCCACUUGACCGUUUGAUAAAUC